rnacentral:rRNA from 1 species
GGUCCCGCCUGCCCUGUGACUAUAUGUUUAACGGCCGCGGUAUUUUGACCGUGCGAAGGUAGCGCAAUCACUUGUCUCUUAAAUGGGGACCUGUAUGAAUGGCAUAACGAGGGCUUGACUGUCUCCUCUUUCAAGUCAAUGAAAUUGAUCUCCCCGUGCAGAAGCGGGGAUAUACACAUAAGACGAGAAGACCCUAUGGAGCUUUAGACACUAAAGCAGAUCAGCAUUAAUACCCCAAACACGGGGCACGAAUAAACUGAACCCUGCCCUAAUGUCUUAGGUUGGGGCGACCGCGGAGAAAUAAAAAACCCCCGCAAGGACCGAAUGUACUACAUUCACAACCAAGAGCGACAGCUCUAAUUAACAGAUACUUCUGACCAAUAAGAUCCGGCAACGCCGAUCAAUGGACCAAGUUACCCUAGGGAUAACAGCGCAAUCUCCUCUUAGAGCCCGUAUCAACGAGGAGGUUUACGACCUCGAUGUUGGAUCAGGACAUCCUAAUGGUGCAGCCGCUAUUAAGGGUUCGUUUGUUCAACGAUUAAAGUCCUACG